rnacentral:rRNA from 1 species
GACGAACGCUGGCGGCGUGCCUAAUACAUGCAAGUCGACCUUAGUGGCGAACGGGUGAGUAACACGUGGGUAACCUGCCCAUCAGAAGGGGAUAACACUUGGAAACAGGUGCUAAUACCGUAUACUGAUGGAUGGACCCGCGGUGCAUUAGCUAGUUGGUGAGGUAACGGCUCACCAAGGCCACGAUGCAUAGCCGGCCUGAGAGGGUGGUCGGCCACAUUGGGACGUGGACACGGCCCAAACUCCUACGGGAGGGAGCAGUAGGGAAUCUUCCGGAAUGGGCGAAAGGUUUAACGAGCCAAGGCGCGUGGGUUGAGAAGGGUUUCGGAUCGUAAAACUCUGUUGUUAGAGAAGCGGUAUCUAACCAGAAAGCCACGGCUAACUACGUGCCAGCAGCCGCGGUAAUAC